rnacentral:misc_RNA from 1 species
AGAAUAAAAAUCGAGGCGUCGCUCUUUUUUUAAGGGUGAUCGCGUCGGAAUUGAGCCGUCUUUCAAAUGUUAAUUCAUGUCAAAGUGGCUUAAAAUUCAUCCAUCCGGUACGAUUAAAGCGUAUUUAAGAUCAAUUUGUUCAAGAACGCGCGAUGACGUACCAUCUCAUGUAGUACGUUUGACUUGGCGUCGUCAGGAUCAUUCGUAUACGAUACUCAAC